rnacentral:rRNA from 1 species
AUUGAACGCUGGCGGCAGGCCUAACACAUGCAAGUCGAGCGGUAGAGAGAAGCUUGCUUCUCUUGAGAGCGGCGGACGGGUGAGUAAUGCCUAGGAAUCUGCCUGGUAGUGGGGGAUAAUGUUCGGAAACGGACGCUAAUACCGCAUACGUCCUACGGGAGAAAGCAGGUGACCUUCGGGCCUUGCGCUAUCAGAUGAGCCUAGGUCGGAUUAGCUAGUUGGUGAGGUAAUGGCUCACCAAGGCGACGAUCCGUAACUGGUCUGAGAGGAUGAUCAGUCACACUGGAACUGAGACACGGUCCAGACUCCUACGGGAGGCAGCAGUGGGGAAUAUUGGACAAUGGGCGAAAGCCUGAUCCAGCCAUGCCGCGUGUGUGAAGAAGGUCUUCGGAUUGUAAAGCACUUUAAGUUGGGAGGAAGGGCAUUAACCUAAUACGUUAGUGUUUUGACGUUACCGACAGAAUAAGCACCGGCUAACUCUGUGC